GGAAGUAAAAGUCGUAUCAAGGUUUCCGUAGGUGAACCUGCGGAAGGAUCAUUAUUGUAUAACCGAGGUGCGAGGGCUGUCGCUGACCCGAAAGGUCGUGCACGCCCGUGUGCCCUCACGCACAUCCAUCUCACCCCUAUGUGCACCACCGCGUGGGUCCCCCUUUGGCUUGUUCGGAGGGGGGCUUACGUUUUCACACAAACUUUGUAUGCAGUGUAGAAUGUAUUUUUUGUUUUUGCGAUCACGCAAUCAAUACAACUUUCAACAACGGAUCUCUUGGCUCUC
rnacentral:misc_RNA from 1 species